CUUCUGCCAUCCCUGUAUGGGCUGCAUUCCCUCCAAUUUUUUGAUUACUAAUGAUUGAACGAUUGAUUGAUUUAACCCGAUGACAACUGUUUUAGACAACUUCCUACGAGCCGAGAAAAUCGGCGAAGGCACAUACGGCAUUGUCUACAAGGCGCGCAGCAAUUUAACUGGUCAGGAUGUGGCUCUCAAGAAAAUCCGUCUGGAAGGUGAGGAUGAAGGCGUCCCUUCCACAGCCAUACGUGAGAUAUCCCUGCUGAAGAAUCUCAAGCACCAGAAUGUGGUGCAGCUGUUUGACGUGGUUAUUUCUGGUAAUAAUCUAUACAUGAUAUUCGAGUACCUCAACAUGGAUCUGAAAAAACUGAUGGACAAGAAGAAGGAUGUCUUUACGCCGCAGUUGAUCAAAAGCUAUAUGCACCAGAUAUUCGACGCCCUCUGCUUUUGUCACACCAAUCGUGUACUGCACCGCGAUCUCAAGCCGCAGAAUCUACUCGUAGACACGGCGGGCAGAAUAAAGUUGGCAGAUUUCGGGCUGGCACGAGCCUUUAAUGUACCCAUGCGACCGUACACCCACGAGGUGGUCACGCUCUGGUACCGAGCACCGGAAAUAUUGCUGGGAACUAAGUUCUACUCGACUGGAGUGGACAUCUGGAGCCUGGGCUGCAUUUUCGCCGAAAUGAUAAUGCGACGAUCAUUGUUUCCCGGGGACAGCGAAAUCGAUCAACUGUUUCGGAUCUUUCGCACUUUGAGCACGCCCGACGAAACCACAUGGCCUGGUGUGACACAGCUGCCGGAUUUUAAGGCUAAGUUCCCAAAAUUUCAGCCCUCCAAUGUGCCUGCACCCAUCCGCGAGCACGAGGCACAUGAUCUUAUAAUGUCGAUGCUGUGCUAUAACCCCAACAUGCGCAUCUCCGCCAAGGACGCCCUUCAGCAUGCAUAUUUUCAAAACGUUGAGCAUGUGGAUCAUGUUGCACUGCCAGUGGAUCCCAAUGCUGGCAGUGCAUCUCGUCUCACGAAGCUCGUCUAAUCGUCGCAUAUCCCCGGAUCAACCCUAGCUAAUUUCUUGUGAUCUGUUAGUAUACUGCCAUCUCCAUAUCAUCCUUUUAAAACACACACUCACACGCAUACAAACAAAUCCUUUAAAUACAUGCUCAUGUCCAUCAGGUA
rnacentral:misc_RNA from 1 species